rnacentral:tmRNA from 1 species
UCGUCUGUACACUGCUUGUCUGUUGGUGUGGUGCAGAUUAAAUUAAACAACAAGGCUAAGUAUGUAGAACUGUCUGUAGAGGAUUUGCGGACGGGGGUUCGAUUCCCCCCAGCUCCACCA